rnacentral:rRNA from 1 species
CACUUUAAUACCAAGCAAUUCUAUAUCUUUAUAGAACCUUUUAUGUUAAAACUAGUAACAAGAAGCACCCCUUCUCUUAAAUGCAAGUAUAAAUCAGCUAGGACCCACCACUGAUAAUUAACACCCAUGAAUUUACAGUAGAAACACCACAAGAAAACCCUACUACACCCCAUGUUAAUCUAACACAAGAGCAUUACAAGAAAGAUUAAAAGAAAAAGAAGGAACUCGGCAAACAUUAACCCCGCCUGUUUACCAAAAACAUCGCCUCUUGAUAAACCUAUAGGAGGUCCAGCCUGCCCAGUGACUCUGUUCAACGGCCGCGGUAUCCUAACCGUGCGAAGGUAGCGUAAUCACUUGUUCUUUAAAUGAGGACUAGUAUGAAUGGCACCACGAAGGUUAUACUGUCUCCUUUCUCUAAUCAGUGAAACUAAUCUCCCCGUGAAGAAGCGGGAAUAAGAAUAUAAGACGAGAAGACCCUAUGGAGCUUCAAACAAAUAUACAACUGCCUACUACGCUAAAAAUUUCAGAAAAAAACACUUAUCCAGGCACUUUGAUAUAAAGUUUUAGGUUGGGGUGACCACGGAGUAAAAAAUAACCUCCGUAAUGAAUGGGAGUUUUCCCUAAACUAAGGGCUACAACCCUAAGUAUCAAUAAAUUGACACCAAUUGACCCAAUACAUUUGACCAAUGAACCAAGUUACCCUAGGGAUAACAGCGCAAUCCACUUCAAGAGCCCCUAUCGACAAGUGGGUUUACGACCUCGAUGUUGGAUCAGGGUAUCCUAGUGGUGCAGCCGCUACUAAUGGUUCGUUUGUUCAACGAUU